rnacentral:rRNA from 1 species
UACGUAGGGGGGCAAGCGUUGUCCGGAUUUAUUGGGCGUAAAGAGCUCGUAGGCGGUUCAGUAAGUCGGGUGUGAAAACUUUGGGCUUAACCCAGAGCGUGCAUCCGAUACUGCUGUGACUUGAGUUCGGUAGGGGAGUGGGGAAUUCCCAGUGUAGCGGUGAAAUGCGCAGAUAUUAGGAGGAACACCGGUGGCGAAGGCGCCACUCUGGGCCGAAACUGACGCUGAGGAGCGGAAGCAUGGGUAGCAAACAGG